AGUAACACGUGAUGUAUCCACCCUCGGUACCGGGAUAGCCCGGGGAAACCCGGAUUAAUACCUGGAUGGCCCAUCAGCCCUGCGGGGCGGUUGGAAAAGGUAGCUUCGGCCUCCGACCGAGGACGAGCUCUGGCGGCGGAUUAGCUUGUUGGUGAGGUGACGGCUCACCAAGGCGACGAUCCGUAGCUGGUCUGAGAGGACCAUCAGCCGGCAUUUGGGCACUGGAGCCACUGCUACAAACUCCAACGGAGGCGGUGGGAAUCUUGCGCAGGGCGAGCCUGACGCACGGCCGGUGAGGGAAAAGGCUUUCGGGUGUACCUCUUGUCAGGAGGGACGGAAGCUACUCCGGGUGAAUAGCCCAGAGGGUGACGGUACCUCCAGAAGAAAGCCCCGGUUAACUACGUGCCAGC
rnacentral:rRNA from 1 species